ACCCCCAGUUUCUCACUCCCUCCAUGAGGCUCUCUUUGAUUUCCAAAGUUCUCCUUUUCUCAAUGGCCACAAGGGGCAAGAGGCCUGGAUGAAGAAAUACCCUCAGAAACUCCCACUCUUCUGGUUCCUGCUGAAGACUCCACUAAUAAAAGUUAUUCAUACCUACCUCCACCAUCUUGGCUGGGAAGUCAAGGAAGAAGGUAGCAGCCCUCAACCCGGAAGAGGGCCCUCACUAGAACCUACCAUGCUGGCACCCAGACCUCAGACUUCCAGCCUCCGGAAAUAUGGUGUCUCCGUUGCCUGGCUGGAGUACAGUGGCGCGAUCUCGGCUCACUGCAACCUCUGCCUCCCAGAUUCAAGUGAUUCUCCUGCCUCAGCCUCCCGAGGAGCUGGGAUUACAGGCACCCGCCACCACGCCCGGCUAAUUUUUGUAUUUUUAGUAGAGAUGAGCUCUUAAUCUUCCCACUUCAUUAUGUUAUCUUUCUCCAGAAAAAGCUUAAAUCCUCUCUGAUGGUCUUCUAUAUCCCUAGUAUAGUGCUUACAGUAAAUAUUUGCCUUUUCUUUUUUACUAGCCAACAUCACGUAUCCUUCCUUUGUGGCGAGAAAUCCCCAUUGUGUCGGUCUUGGUUUGUCAUAGUGAAAUCAUGUCGUUUCAUAUUCCUUCUUCCCAGUCUAGGCAGCUAGGGUGAGGGCAUGGGAUCUGAGUCAACUCGAUGCCCCUUUCCUAGACUUUGAAACUUGAGAAUGUAGUGCAAAGAUGCAGGGUCAGGUGGCAACAUGAGUCAUCUGGCAAUGCUGGUGGAGAGCAUCUAGCAGGGCAAUGGCAGCAGUGGCACCCUGACCGGAAGUGCCUGCAGUAUGACCUUGGAUAUAUUCCUAGAAUCCUCCACUUUUCUUGGCCUGGUUUCCAUCAUUGCCAAAUAUUCUGUGACCCAAAAAAGUUGAGGGAGCACCUUCAGCUCCAAUUAUGUACUCUUGCUGAGAAAAAUUGUGUAAGACUUCGGAAUGUGGGAAAAAAAAGAUUACUUUUUUCUCUGAAGAUUUAUUUUCUUUUCUAGAAUGUUCUAUAUAGCAUACUCUUCCCAUGAUAUUGCUACUUUUUAUUGUAUUUCAACUAUUUUACAACUCUAUAAUUUGUAGAAAGCCAAAAAUAAUACAAAUGUUUCUUGUCCAUACAAAUGCAAAUUAGUUGUAUUGGAAUGCAAUUGAUUAUCACCUGUGGAUAGAUCAAUGUUAUAUAUGCCUUCAAAUUCAUGUAAGCUUUUUUUUUUUUUUUUUUGAGACACCAUCUGGCUCUGUCACCCAGGCUGGAGUGCAGUGGCCUGGUCACAGUUCACUGCAGCUUCAACUUCCCUGGCUCAAGUGAUCCUCCCUCCUCACCCUACAGGCAUGCACCACCGUGCCCAGGAGCUCCCUCUGCUGCAGGAACUCAACGGUAGGGAGGAAGAGUCCAAAAGAGUAGGGCUGUCAGCACCCCUGUGAGCAGCCGACGAUCCACGGCGGAUGGAGUUUGGUGGUAAAGGUACUCACUUCCUGUCUCUCUGGUGAUGAUUUUGAGCAUGUUCUACAAAGUCUUUCAGAUGGUCCCAGUAGGUUGGAGCCCAGCUGCCCUCAGUGGUAACCUGCCCAUUAACGUAUCCUGUGUUGGUUUCCUUUCCUUCCCUACCUCACCUCCCCACUCCCCUUUCUAUGAUUCCUAGAGUCACCUCCCAAAUAAACCUUCACAUUUACA